rnacentral:rRNA from 1 species
GACAGAGGAGGUAAGCGUUAUCCGGAAUUAUUGGGCGUAAAGCGUCCGUAGGUGGUUUUGCAAGUCUGGGGUUAAAGCUCGGAGCCUAACUCCGGAUCGGCCCUGGAAACUGCCAGACUAGAGUAAGGUUGGGGUUGCGGGAAGUCCCGGUGUAGCGGUGAAAUGCGUAGAUAUCGGGAAGAACACCAGUGGCGAAAGCGCGCAAUUGGGCCAUUACUGACACUGAGGGACGAAAGCUAGGGGAGCGAAUGGG